AAUUUCUUCGAACAUUUUUUUGAGAGGAUAAAUAUUCAACAGCAUAGUGAAUUGCUCAAAGGCAAAAAAAAAUUUUUAAGUUCAUUAGACCACAUUCAUUCUGUGUCAGAAACCUAUGCUGUGUCAACUAUUUAAUCACAAUCCAAAUUUAGAGCUGAAUCCAGCUUGAAUGUUGUGUCCAUACUUGCCCCAACCGUUGAGGGUUCAACCUCUGUGGUCGUAUAAAGCUGUGCCCUGCGGAGCAUCUGGUUAU
rnacentral:lncRNA from 1 species